UAACAAGGUGGUGAUUACAUCAGACAAAUGAAGCUGACGGACUGCACUACUCUUACAAGUUCUAAGCCUUCCCCUGUGAGUAGCCUGUGUUUGCUGUUCUUAUCCAUCAAAGCGCACUGUGAAAGACAGCCCAGGAAAAGCAUGGCGGCGAUGGAGAGCAGGGGCUUUGGGGAUCGGACUCAGUAGCUCAAGACUUGGCUCUGCCACUUAAUAAAUGUCUCAUCCCAG
rnacentral:lncRNA from 1 species